rnacentral:rRNA from 1 species
CUAUCACGGAGAGUUUGAUUCUGGCUCAGGAUGAACGCUGGCGGCAUGCCUAACACAUGCAAGUUGAACGAAGCUUUGAUUUAUCAAAGACUGAGUAGCGGACGGGCGAGUAACGCGUAAGAAUCUGCCCUUAGGAAAAGGAUAACAACUGGAAACGGUUCCUAAUACUUUAUAAGCUGAGAAGUGAAAAGGUUUUAAACCCCGCCUAGGGAUGAGCUUGCGUCUGAUUAUAUACCCAGCUAGUUGGUGAGGUAAUGGCUUACCAAGGUUACGAUCAGUAGUUGGUCUGAGAGGACGACCAGCCGCAUUGGGACUGAGACACGGCCCAGACUCCUACGGGAGGCAGCAGUGAGGAAUUUUCCGCAAUGGGCGAAAGCCUGACGGAGCAAUGCCGCGUGAAGGAUGAAGGCCUGCGGGUUGUAAACUUCUUUUCUUAGAAAAGAAAAUGACGGUAUCUAAGGAAUAAGCAUCGGCUAACCCUGUGCCAGCAGCCGCGGUAAUACAGGGGAUGCAAGCGUUAUCCGGAAUGAUUGGGCGUAAAGCGUCUGUGGGUGAUUUAAAAAGUCUAUUGUUAAAACCCAAGGCUCAACCUUGGAUCAGCAAUGGAAACUGCUAGAUCAGAGUACGGUAAGGGUAGAUGGAAUUACCGGUGUAACGGUGAAAUGUGCAGAUAUCGGUAAGAACACCAACGGCGAAAGCAAUCUACUAGGCCAAAACUGACACUGAGAGACGAAAGCUAAGGGAGCAACUAGGAUUAGAUACCCUAUUAGUCUUAGCUGUAAACGAUGGAAACUAAGUAUUGGUCGAAAGAGCAGUUCUGUAGCUAACGCGUUAAGUUUCCCGCCUGGGAAGUAUGCUCGCAAGAGUGAAACUCAAAGAAAUUGACGGGGGCCCGCACAAGCGGUGGAGCAUGUGGUUUAAUUCGAUGCAACGCGAAGAACCUUACCGGGGAUUGACAUUUUGCGCAUUUUUUGGAAACGAAAAAGUUCAAACGCAUAAACAGGUGGUGCAUGGCUGUCGUCAGCUCGUGUCGUGAGACGUAAGGUUAAGUCCUGUAACGAGCGCAACCCUUAUUAUUAGUUGCUUUUAAAAACUAGUGAGACUGCCAGUUAUAAGCUGGAGGAAGGUGAGGAUGACGUCAAGUCAGCAUGCCCCUUAAAUCCCGGGCUACACACGUGCUACAAUGGUUGGGACAAAGAGAUGCUAACUCGUGAGAGUACGCCAACCUCAAAAACCCAAUCUCAGUUCGGAUUGGAGGCUGCAACUCGCCUCCAUGAAGUCGGAAUCGCUAGUAAUCGCAGGUCAGCCAUACUGCGGUGAAUACGUUCCCGGGCCUUGUACACACCGCCCGUCACACCAUGGAAGCUGAUUGGGCCCGAAAUCGUUGUAAACGCCUAAGGCACAGUUAGUGACUGGGGUGAAGUCGUAACAAGGUAGGGCUACUGGAAGGUGGCCCUGGAUCACCUCCUUA